AAUGUUUGUAUGGAUCGUUUGU
rnacentral:miRNA from 2 species